AUGAACGCUGGCGGCGUGCCUCAUACAUGCAAGUCGAGCGAACAGACGAGGAGCUUGCUCCUCUGACGUUAGCGGCGGACGGGUGAGUAACACGUGGAUAACCUACCUAUAAGACUGGGAUAACUUCGGGAAACCGGAGCUAAUACCGGAUAAUAUAUUGAACCGCAUGGUUCAAUAGUGAAAGACGGUUUUGCUGUCACUUAUAGAUGGAUCCGCGCCGUAUUAGCUAGUUGGUAAGGUAACGGCUUACCAAGGCAACGAUGCGUAGCCGACCUGAGAGGGGGACCGGCCAACCUGGACCUGGGCACGGGCCAAGCCUCUAAGGGAAGGAGGAGGUAGGAAAUCUCCGGAAAUGGGGGAAGCCCUACCGAACAACCGCGGGGGGGGUGUGAAGGGUCUUGGAUUGGUAAACCUCGGUUAUUGGGAAGAACAAAAUGUGUAGUAACUAUGCACGUCUUGACGGUACCUAAUCAGAAAGCCACGGCUAACUACGUG
rnacentral:rRNA from 1 species